rnacentral:rRNA from 1 species
AACGAACGCUGGCGGCAUGCCUAACACAUGCAAGUCGAACGAGACCUUCGGGUCUAGUGGCGCACGGGUGCGUAACGCGUGGGAACCUGCCCUUAGGUUCGGAAUAACUCCCCGAAAGGGGUGCUAAUACCGGAUAAUGUCUUCGGACCAAAGAUUUAUCGCCUUUGGAUGGGCCCGCGUUGGAUUAGCUAGUUGGUAGGGUAAAAGCCUACCAAGGCGACGAUCCAUAGCUGGUCUGAGAGGAUGAUCAGCCACACUGGGACUGAGACACGGCCCAGACUCCUACGGGAGGCAGCAGUGGGGAAUAUUGGACACUGGGCGAAAGCAUGAUCCAGCAAUGCCGCGUGAGUGAUGAAGGCCUUAGGGUUGUAAAGCUCUUUUACCCGGGAUGAUAAUGACAGUACCGGGAGAAUAAACUCCGGCUAACUCCGU